CGGUGAUAACGCGUGGGCACCUGCCUUCAAAGGGGAUACACUAAGAUUGGUGCUAUACGCAUGAGAUAGUAGCUCGCAUGAGUAGCUAUCAAGGAGAAUCCGUGAAGAUGGCCCCGCGUCUGAUUAGUAUUGUGAGGUAUGCUCACCAAGCCUACGAUCAGUACCGAUCUGAGAGGAUGAGGCCACACUGAUGAAACACGGUCCAAACUCCUACGGGAGGCAUGGGGAUNUGCAAUGGGGGAAACCUGAGCAACGCCGCGUGGAGGAAGAAGGCUUUCGGGUUGUAACUCCUGUCAUUUGGGACGAAAAAAUGACGGUACCAAAUGAGGAAGCCACGGUUAACUACGUGCCAGCAGCCGGGUAUACGUACGGUCGGCCGAGCGUCUGUCCCGGAAUUCAUUGGGCGUAAAGGGCGCGUAGGCGGCCUUGUAAGUCAGAUGUGAAACCCCCGGGGCUUACUUUGGGGAUGCAUUUGAAACUUGACGGGCUUGANUGCAGAAGGUCANUGAAUUCCCUAUGUACGCGGUGAAAUGCGNAAAUCUCGACGGGGGACCACCCAGUGCGAAAGGGCGAAUUUAACUUGGACUGGUAACUGACCGC
rnacentral:rRNA from 1 species